rnacentral:lncRNA from 1 species
CUGGGAGCCAGACACUGGUAGGUGCUGGGGAUAUAGGCAGGAAUGUGCUUUCAUGAGAGACAAGAAAGCCUGACCUUGCUGCCACAGAAAUUUCAUUGCACUGUGAGACAGAGAUGUGCCAAUAGAAAGAUCCACAUAAGAAGCAUAAGAAGAAGCAUAAGAAGAGCAUAAGAAGCAUUAGAACGGGCGUGAAAGUCCAUCCAGGGGACAUUUUUGACCCAAAUUUGAGAGGCCAGGAGAGCUUCCUGGAGAAAGUGACAUGUAAGGCAAGACCUGAAAGACAAACCCAAUUACCUGGGGAGGUGAGGAAGGAAGAGGGACAGGUGUUCCAAGAAAGGCAGAUAGCAUAUUGAGGGGAGCAGUGGGAAAGAGAAGGGGAACUCCAGGAACUGAAGUGAUCCCCACCACCAGAGCAUGGAGUGUGAGUGAAAAGUCUGCAGAGGGCUGGUGCCCGGGACCUCUGAACACGGGAGGCCAGACAGUAUUCUAAGAUCAACGGGAAGCCAUUGCAAAGUUUCACCCAGAGGAGUAAUGUGAUCAGAUUUGCAUCUUAGAACAGUUGUUUUGGCACUUCUGACUGGAAGGGCAAGAAUGGCCAGUGUUGUUGUUACCUGAAGGGUAAAUGUGGCCCACAAUAUGAAAUGCAGUGAAGAAGGAGACAUAUGCAUAUAUACACUGCCCAAAGCAGUCCUUCACUACAGUGGCAGAUACACCUGCA